UUGUAAAUUUUGUUUCUUUUCGGAAAUUUGAUAAUGGGUUUCCCAAAAUAUUCAUAUCCAAUGCUCAUGGCAAUUGAGGACACCAUGCAACCUUUCUGCCCUCGUUUAGUUCCCCAUCAAUGAUUUUUAAGCAGUUCUCUGUGAUCUAUGCAUUGCUCAUAUUGUCAUCUCCUCAUUCACGCCCGUCCUUCCCUUUUUUCCCAUUAUGAUUUUUGAUAUCUGCAUGUGUAUUUAUUCUAAAGCUGUAUAUUGCAUCUCUCUAGUUGUAGAAUUCAUCUAUAAGCAAAUCCGAUUUAAGUAGUUCAUUUGUUUUCAUUUAUUUAAAACUUGAAAAAAAACUUCUUAUCUGAUUGUUGGUUGCUCAUUGUUUUGAAGUUACAUGUAUCAAGGACUAUACACAACACUUAGUUUUUUAAUCUAUUACAUAAAGAUUUUUUUUAGAUGUCACAUCCCAGGUGCUUGAUUUAGGAAAAAUUAAGGCUCAUUUGAUAUUUAAUUUCCCGCAUAAUGGAUGUUGGUGCUUGUUAAUAUUUUUCAUUGCCUUCUUGCUUCGUUCUGUUUGUUGAUGGAUGAUAUAUCCAAAAGCAGGCAGCAUUAAAGUAUUCUAGCCAUUUGUGUGAUAUAUGCGAGAUGAGUUCGAAUCAAGGUAAUGAUUUAUGACUCUUCUGAUGCAAUGCAUUGAAAUGUUAAGGAAAAGCCUAGGUAGUGUUUGAGGAAAAGUCUAAAAGAAAAAAAAUAAUUGAAAUGUUAAGGGUCAGAGAGGUAGUUUGCGAAAGCUGGAUGUGAUUUGAGUUAAUGCCUGAACAUAUUUUUCUUUUUUCUUUUUUUUUUUAGAGUUGGUUUCAGAUGUAUCUUAAUCAUUGUUCAUUUAUGAAAAAUUGGGCAUGGUUUGCUGACUCCCUUUUUCCUAAAAAUUUCUGGUGGUGCAUAGAUCUUUUUGCUAAGGUUAGGUUGAUGAUCUAGUGGUGACAGAUUUUCUGGUGUAGCUUGGAACAAUUCAGACUUUUGGGUUUGUUUGAUAUUGGGGGUCUUGUUUAUUCAUUGGUGAAAAGAUGAGGGGAGCUGUGAUGGUGGCCAUUGCUGCUACAAUUGGUAGCAUUCUACAAGGAUGGGAUAAUGCUACAAUCACAGGCUGAUUUUAGUAAACGAAUUGAAGAAACAUAGAAGAUUUGGAGCUGGGGUGUCAUGGGUUGAUGUGCUUGGGAUGGGAUAGUAACUUAGCAAAGAGGGGUAUGAAAUGAAGAGAGGUACAGACCAUGCGAGGAGCACUUGAGGAGCAAACGGUGCAAAAUGAAGAAUAGAGGAAGAAAAAUGAGCAACCUGAAAUGGAGAUGCUGAGACUUGGUGAGGAGCAAAUAUACUGGACUAUUUCAUCCAAAAUUCUUUUAUUUAUUUAUUAUUAUUAUAAAUUAUUAAAUAGAAAUCAAUAUUGAACGUGCACUAAUUUCAAAUUAGUGCACU